UUUUGAAAAAAAACGUAUUGGAUCACUCGAUUGCAUUCAAGAGAACUACAAUGAAAAAGAAGCGAUCAGAAUUAGCCAACUACCUUCAAUCCUAGAAAUGUUGCAAAAACUAAGCCAUAGAGGCUAUUAGUUCCUUUAAUUUUCUGUGCUAUAUGAGAAAAAACAUAUUACAGCUACAUGUACCAAGCUUCUAUAACUGCGAUGAUCUAUGAAACACAGAAAUGAAAAUAAGAAACUAAAACAAAUAAAACCUAAAAUUUUUUUUCUUCAGCAAUUAAUCUCAUGAAUCAUAUUACAUUCAUAAAUUCCCCCAUUUUUAUUCAGUUCCUCCACCUCGCUGAAGCCAAUGGGCUUGCAUACUCGUUAAAAUUAUCUUGGCAAUCCAAACUUCAAUCAGCUCGAUUGGAUUUAUGAACUUUAUACCAAGAGAGGAACUUCGGCUAUUUGGAUGUGUCUAUCUCCAUGGAGGCUGUGGAUGUUUAUAUUGUAACGAGAAAGGCUCCCAACCACCAUCUGGUUCCCUCCUUUUCCCACCCACUCCAGAGCUCGAGGAGGGUUGCAAGUUGCCCCUCAGAUGCUCCUCCAUUGAUCUGCUUUGACCAGUCAUGAAAAGUUGCCUCAAACCCCCAGGACCUCCUUCAAUUGCAAAACCAGAAUUUAGAUCAAAGUUAGGCCGUGAGGGCCCUGCACCAUUUAAACUUAGAGGCAGUGCACUGGUCAUACUCAUCAUGAAAGAGGGUUGGGAAUAAGCAGGAGGAACAGCAGAUGUAGAACCCAAAAUUUGAGGCACCACAGGGGUUCCUCUUGAAUCUACCAUGUAAGGUAUGGAGGCACCAGAUCCAUACACCGCCGAGGAGAUGGACAUGGAAGGCGCUGUGGUCAGUCCAUUGUACCCAAAAAUAGGAGAAUGUGUGUAUGAAGCUGUUGGAAUCCCAAGAACACCCCCCAUUCUGGACACAUUUGCUUCCACUGUAGGAUCCAGAGGCUUGCCAUUUGGCAAGGAUGGAUUUUGAGGAACAAAAUCUGCUCUCCUGGCUUCCGCUCUACUACCCACUUCAACUCUGGUACCCAUGAUAGAAAUAACAGGAUCACCCGAUUUAGAACCUCCAAAAGCACUUACAUUUUGGUUGCCAAGAUGGAGACCUUGAUCCAAAGAAUCAUUGUGGAAAAGAGGCCUAUCAUUCAAAUCAAAAUUCCUCAGUGAAGGCUGCAUAGACGAUGACGAAGAUGCAGGAGAUGGGCUGCGAUGGCCAUUCCGGGGGUAGAACAGCUGUCCCUCCAUCCUCAAACCUGAAGGCGGACCAUCAGCAUCAUUGCUAAUACAAUUUAAAUCCAAGUUGGGCCUUUCUGACCUUCUUAGACCCACUUCUAGUGAAGAUUCCCCGGAAUGCAGGCCAGAUGAGACUGGAAUUUGUCUUCCUGAAAUAAAGUCCAUCACCUUCUCAUCACCAUCUUCAGCCACAUUGAGAUCAAUAUCAAGGCUGUCCUGUCUCUGUUUUGAACUACUGCUGGUUCCCCCAGCCUCUAGAUUCUUGUCACCAUCAAAAGUCUUGCGUGGUGAAGCUGGUCGAAAAGCACUAGUAGCUGCAGACCCUUUCCAUCCGAGAAUGCCCUCA
rnacentral:misc_RNA from 1 species